AAAUUAUACAGGUGAACAUGAACGUUUCAGAAAUUUUUGUUUGGUGACUAUGGCGAUUUGUUCUAUGCCGAUUCAUUUAGUAAUAAUCACCCAAUGACAAAUUAGGCAGAACACCAUGACUAGCCACUGAAUUCUGGUCAUCAAGUUGUUGGUCAUCUAACUACUCCCUCCAUUCACUUUUAUAAGUCAUUUCAGACAACUGAAAAUAGGCUGCUUUGCAUGUUGUCUGAAAUGUCUUCAAGGACUUAUAAAAGUGAACAGAGGGAGUAUCUUUUUUAUCAAGAUGGAUGCUCCGCCCAAAAUAUGUGUGUCUGUCGGUGACUACGAGGUGUCUCCUCACUUCUCCAUUUCAGUUACGUGGUGCAUAGCCAAACCAAGAUCAAUCUCCCAUGCUCAAGGUCAUCUGCAAUUGGAAUCACCAUUUUUGCACCCAACUACUUGAAACCUAAGGUAUAUAAUGAGAAGACAUGGUCAUUAUGCUUGAUUUUCUUCAGAGACAUGGAUAUGUUAUUUUUAUUUUAUCCCAUAAUGUAUCUUUCCUUCCUGAAAUAUGAAAAUGCAUUCAGGGACCAUGUG
rnacentral:lncRNA from 1 species